rnacentral:rRNA from 1 species
CUUGAGUUUGAUCAUGGCUCAGAUUGAACGCUGGCGGCAGGCCUAACACAUGCAAGUCGAGCGGAUGAAGGGAGCUUGCUCCUGGAUUCAGCGGCGGACGGGUGAGUAAUGCCUAGGAAUCUGCCUGGUAGUGGGGGAUAACGUCCGGAAACGGGCGCUAAUACCGCAUACGUCCUGAGGGAGAAAGUGGGGGAUCUUCGGACCUCACGCUAUCAGAUGAGCCUAGGUCGGAUUAGCUAGUUGGUGGGGUAAAGGCCUACCAAGGCGACGAUCCGUAACUGGUCUGAGAGGAUGAUCAGUCACACUGGAACUGAGACACGGUCCAGACUCCUACGGGAGGCAGCAGUGGGGAAUAUUGGACAAUGGGCGAAAGCCUGAUCCAGCCAUGCCGCGUGUGUGAAGAAG